rnacentral:rRNA from 1 species
CCUACGGGAGGCAGCAGUAGGGAAUCUUCCACAAUGGGCGAAAGCCUGAUGGAGCAACGCCGCGUGAGUGAUGAAGGCCUUCGGGUUGUAAAACUCUGUCAUUCGGGACGAACCGGAGUCUGAGGAAAUGCAGACUCUCUGACGGUACCGGAGGAGGAAGCCCCGGCUAACUACGUGCCAGCAGCCGCGGUAAUACGUAGGGGGCAAGCGUUGUCCGGAUUCACUGGGCGUAAAGCGCGCGCAGGCGGUGAUGUAAGUCUGAGGUGAAAACCCGAAGCUCAACUUCGGGACUGCCUUGGAUACUGCGUCACUUGAGGAUAGGAGAGGCAAGGGGGAAUUCCACGUGUAGCGGUGAAAUGCGUAGAGAUGUGGAGGAACACCUGUGGCGAAGGCGCCUUGCUGGCCUAUUUCUGACGCUGGGGCGCGAAAGCGUGGGGAGCAAACAGGAUUAGAUACCCUGGUAGUCCACGCUGUAAACGAUGAGUGCUAGGUGUAGGUGGGCUCAUACCCAUCUGUGCCGAAGCUAACGCAUUAAGCACUCCGCCUGGGGAGUACGGUCGCAGACUGAAACUCAAGGAUUGACGG